UCCGUAGGGGACCUGCGGAAGGAUCAUUAGUGAAUAUUAGGGCAUCUACUUGUAGAGCGUGACCUCCACUUUCUAACUUUGUGCAUUUAUGGGCGGAAGGACUUGAGCAAUCGAGUUUCCUUUUGCGGCUCAUUUUAAAACACUAGUUAAAGUAUGUAACGAAAUUUCGAAACAAAAAAAACUUUCAACAACGGAUCUCUUGGCUUGCUCAUCGAUGAAGAACGCAGCGAAAUGUGAUAAGUAAUGUGAAUUGCAGAAUUCAGUGAAUCAUCGAAUCUUUGAACGCACCUUGCGCUCUCUGGUAUUCCGGAGAGCAUGUCUGUUUGAGUGUCAUGAACUCUUCAACCCACCAGUUUCUUGUAGACUGAAUGGUGUUUGGUUUUUGAGCGUUGCUGGUCUUCGGAUCUAGCUCGUUCGUAAUAUAUUAGCAUCUCUAAUUCGAACUCGGAUUGACUCAGUGUAAUAGACUAUUCGCUGAGGACACGCUCUUGUAGUGUGGCCGAAUGAGAUCUCAGUAGAAGCUUCCAACUACUUUAGUCAACUUUAGAUUAGACCUCAGAUCAGGCAGGAUUACCCGCUGAACUUAAGCAUAUCAAUAAGCGGAGGAAAAGAAACUAACAAGGAUUCCCCUAGUAACGGCGAGUGAAGCGGGAAGAGCUCAAAUUUGUAAUCUGGCACUUUCAGUGUCCGAGUUGUAAUCUCGAGAAGUAUUUUCCGCGCCGGACCGCAUACAAGUCUGUUGGAAUACAGCGUCAUAGUGGUGAGAACCCCGUAACUGAUGCGGAUGCCCGGUGCUUUGUGAUAUACUUUCGAAGAGUCGAGUUGUUUGGGAAUGCAGCUCAAAUUGGGUGGUAAAUUCCAUCUAAAGCUAAAUAUUGGAGCAAGACCGAUAGCGAACAAGUACCGUGAGGGAAAGAUGAAAAGCACUUUGGAAAGAGAGUUAACAGUACGUGAAAUUGUUGGAAGGGAAACGCUUGAAGUCAGACUUGCUAUUCGGAGUUCAGCCGCAAGGUGUAUUCUUCGAUUUGCAGGCCAGCAUCAGUUUUUGGGGGUGGAAAAUCGUGGUUUGAAGGUAGCAGUUUCGGCUGUGUUAUAGCUUUCCACUGGAUUCAUCUUCGGGGACUGAGGAACGCAGUACGC
rnacentral:rRNA from 1 species